GCGCCUGUGGCCUAAUGGAUAAGGCACCUGUCUUCGGAACAGGGUUUUAUGGGGGUUCGAGUCCCUCCAGGCGCGC
rnacentral:tRNA from 1 species